CUUAUCUGGGGCCCUAGGACAAGUUCCAAGGAAGCAACAUUCCUGUGGGUGCAAUUCACUGCAGCUGCACCUGGAAGAGACAUGAGCAGCCAUUCUGUGUCUGGAGCAUCUCUGAUCUGGCAGGAUGAAUGGCAGAGCCCUGGCGAAGAGGCAUAGGUUAUGGGUUGUUCUGACGUCUCUGGACAUCACUCCUGUGGCUGUUAAGUUCUCCCCAGCUGUUCUGAUGAACGACUAGCUUCCAAAACCCUCCUGCCCUCUGUGCCCACUCACCUGCCCUUGUGGCACAAACACACUGGCAG
rnacentral:lncRNA from 1 species